UUUAAGUUUCAUGCCUAACGGCAAUCAUUAGCCAUAUAUUACAAAAUUUAAAAUAGACGUUAAAAUUAAGUGUAUCUCGUGGCGAAAAAGUGACGUAAACCAAUCAGGAUCAAUCUACGGUAUCAUAGGAGGAAAUAAGAAAUUUAUUUUUGUGUCUUCAGUUCCAGAUUGUUUCACUCCUUGUGUGAAUUGAAUUAAAAGAUUUGAGGGGGUUUGCGUAUCGAACUUUAAAAGAUGUCUCGCUGAGUCCAAAAUACACUUUUUCUUAGUACUCCGGAUUGUUUGAACAAACGGUGGCUUGAUAAACAAUGUUGUUAGAAAGACAAUGGUUGCUUAUCGGACAUUUGGAUUUAUCAAUGCAGUUGCAUGUCUUUUCAUUAACUUUUUCCUCCUCGUGUAACGUGUUUUUAUUGCGAGAGUUGAUAAUGGAUUUUAUGUUUGGCAUGAAUGAAUAACUUUUUUUGAUUGUGUUUCUAUUAAAUAUUUUAUGGAGUCUGUGGUUAACUGGAAAGUGGUGGUCGAUGAGGUUUAAAAAACAUUUACCUAUUUUUGUUACAACAUUUGCACUGAAAGGAGGAUUAUAACAAAUUAUUUUACGUUUAUGGUUGCUGUUUGAAGAUUUUAUACUUGGAUGGUUUGCAAGUUCGCAAGUGUAUCCAGAUUUUUUCAGGGUUUCUUGAUAAGAAGGAAUACUUUCUUUAAAAAUCGAUUUACUUGACAAUGCUGCUGAUAAUCUUAACUUAA